GGAGAGUGCGUCCCUGCUGGCUGCCAGGGGGAGCCGGCAGCAGCAGCGGAAGAAAGGAAAGCCCAGGAAGGUUGGAAAAGUGCUGUGUAACGAUGAGCAGGAAGUGCUCCGGCUCCCCCCCCCCCCCCCACCCCCCCCGCGUCUCUCGAAGAGCGGCCCUGCCUGACGCGGCGUUUUGUUCGCCUUACGGGAAAGGGUGCUGGUGUUGCCCGUAAUGCGGGCUGAGUGGGGCUACUGCAAAGCUGGAAGGCAUGAGUAAAUCACGGGAAUAUUUUUCUUUUUCCUUUUUUUUCCUUUGUUGUUUUCCUUCCCACCACCCAAAGCACGAAGUGGCGCCGUUUCUCUGUGGGAUGUGGGCCCUUCUGCAGCGUAGAAGGGUCAGCGAGGCGAGCGGUGCUUGCCCGGGGUUAAACACUGACCGUCUCCCGCAGCUCCCCUCAUGGAGGGACUCAGCCAGGACCAGAAAGACUCCUCAUGGGAACAACUUAGUCUUCCCAUCCGAGGGGACUCUGUGGUGGAACUUUUAAAUUCCCAUCUAUUUUGUUUAUUUCUCUGUGUUUUGGAGACGUCCUUUGUUUCACCACAUGCUGCACCACUGCCCACCCCACAGUGCAAAACAGGUCUGCCGCAGCCCUACUCUCCUUCUGUUGCGCUGGUAGGGUUUAAUGUUGGACUCUAGGCGUUGCUGACUCCAGCUGCCACUGCACGUGACACAGGAAAGGUUAGGCGUUGGGAUAUUGGUGCCAGCUGUGUUACGAAUGGGCUAUUUCUGCAAAUUUUAGCAGCUGGGUUACCAGCCUGUGAAAGAUUUGCUCUGCAAUACAGCUGGGCAGAGGAUGGGAAGACUUAGUGCAGGUGCUGGAUAAAAAAAUACACUUCUUCCUUAAAAAGGAAAAGAAAACAAAACAAAAGAUAGUUUGCCUUGGAUACAGUACCAACCCAUCCCAACAGGAUGUCCCCUCAUAUGUUGCUUUACUUGUGGUGGAAACUGAGUAAGUAAUUUUUUAUUUUGGAAGUUUAUUAAGUGUGUGGCAUACUACUGCAGCAGAACUAGUAAGCUCUUUUCUGGCCCUGUGGUUGCGUCCCCUUUGCUCAACUUUACUUGCACCACAGCAGGCCACCUCCUGUCUAGGUCUUGCCAGACCUUAUCGGUUUUGCCUGCUGGAAACACUUUGAAUGCUGCUCUCCCUGCUUCUUCCCCCUCCUGUUAGAUGCCAUAAGCAUCCCCUUGUUUUCUUUGGUGGCAUCGCUAGAGGAGCCAGGAUGCCUGUGGGUGAGAAGCAGCACUGUGAAGGCUUGGUGGUUUACAUAUUUUCUUCCAGCUUCCUCUAGCUGGUCCCUGCUGCCCUUGUGUCCGUGUGCCCUGUGGCUGAUGCCACGGCUGGUACAUAUGCCCUGUGCUGCUUUGGGGAGGUGCAGCUGCUGCCAAUGGCUCAAGAGAAAGCAGGAAUUCCUCAUAAGCCAAGGCACCUUGCUCUACAACCGGCUGCCUGGCAGGAUAAAAUGAGAAGCCCAGACUACCUUCAAAGUCCAACUCCUGAAUGCCCCACCUCAGCCAAGCAUCGUGUGGCUCGUGCAGAAGCCAGUGCAAGCAAAGGCAGGGAACAACCCACCCAGAUAAUAAAUUCCUAGAAACCAACAGCUUUCUAAAGGCAAGUGUGGGUGGGCAAACCCUUUCUAAACUCAAAGGAGAGGUGUGUCCCUUCUCAGGUGCCAUAUGUGGCCACUUGUCUCCUGCUGUGCUCACAGUCACUUGGCUUGACAGACUUAGACAUACAGCAGUUUGAAGUCCAAAAUGUUGCUGUAGGAUUGUUGGAUGAAUGCCUAAAAUAACUGGACAGUUAUAUAAUCUAUGUGAUCUGUGCUUGAUUCUUAGGCUGUAGUAAUUACUGUCAUGACAGUAAUAAUUUUUAACGUAAUAAAAAUGGUACAGAGGAAUGUGUGUCCUCUAAAUGAGGAAAAAAAAUCUACACCCCAGAAAACACACCCUGUUUUCUUAUUAUUUUUGUAUUUUGUUUUUUAAACUAUGGAAUGUCACAUUGUUUAGCUUAACAAUGCUGUAGCUGUCCCAUAUACACAGUCACUCAACCAUAGGGGCCUCAGCUUCUCAUGUGCCCUCACUCCCACCCACCUUCCUCACAACCACAAAUCCAACAUACUUCUCUCCCCCAGGCUAACAGAGAGUGGAUGUUAAAAAUAUGCGAGUUGACUGUGGAAAAGUUGAAAAUCACGUGCUUCAGCACUCUGCUGUAGGAUGUGUCAUACGCAGGAGUCACUGGGUAGGAUGGUGGCCAAUAGAUGGCUCUUUGCAAAUGUGGGCUGGCAGCGAACCAGGAAGCACUGAAAGACAAUCAGGAAGGUGUGUUAACUUGCUUCUGAAAGCCAGAAAAUGUGGCCUGAGGAGGGACAGAGUGGAAAGGCAAUAUAAGCUUCAAAAAUGAGUCCCUAGAUAGUUUCUCUUGGAGAAGGUCUGGAGACAUGGACAAAUGCCUGUACGUAUAUAUUUGCCACACUCCUUGGAUGUGUGGAAAACGUGGGAGAGGAAGUCAGAAGGUCUAAAGUUAGGUGCCCGCCCUCAAGAGAAUUAAUCAGUACCACUUAGGUGUCGGCCAGUAAAAAGGACUGUAUUUUUGGAGAGCUCAUGCUAUGCCACAAUCAUCACAAACAUCCAGGCCAGAUGCUGAGUCUUAAUGGCCUUAUGCAUCAAGGAAGGAGAACAAUGCCAGGACUGGUCCUUGCAGAUGAUCCCAUCUGCUUGUGUCAGUGGAGCAGUGGUCCGCCAGGGAUGAGUACUGGGGUGGUGCUGGAGUUUCCUGUAGUGCUGGGCCUGUUGGUGGAGUCCAACUGGAGGCAUGUGACAGCUUAACACUAGCCAGGACAAGUGGACACCAGACAUGGGAAAAAAGUAUAGAAAGAGACGGCAUAAGUCAGAAAGCCAUGUGCAGAUCAAUAGCAAGCAAGGAGUAAGACUUCACGGAAUGGCACCUGCAUGGAGACAAGAAAAGGAAGCAGAGAAUGACAGUAAGAUCCUGAAAGACACUGGACAGCCCUAAGAGCUCCACAUGGACCACUCAGAGUCAGCAAAACGUGAAGAGGGCAAACAGACAAGAAUUUUAGAGCACUUCAGAAAGAAGAAACUGGAGUCAGAAACUCUCUGAGGAAGGAAGAACUGUUGCUUGUAUUUUGACAUGGGGAGUGGAGACUUGCAGGAGAGGCUGACCUGACAAUUCUGAUAAUUACUCCAAUGCUCCCAGGUAGGUGGUGUUGUCCAUGUUCCAUUUUCCAAGCAAAUACUCCGCAGGGGCCCUUCCAGCAUGUACCCACUGUAGCAUGAAUAGGUGAUCAUGUCUCCAUACUGAUAGAAGCUACCACGAAUCAGAGC